CCCCGUUGCUAGGAGACGCCGGGCAGAGUUCAGACCAUGGCGGCAGCGAAGAAACCGGUUCCCCAGGAGCCCCUGAGCUUCGUGCUGCGCGGGCACCGGGCCCCACUCCGGUGAGUGCGAACAGCAAGAGGAGCCGGAGACCGCCCGAGCUGGCAGAAUACUUAGCGCUCACUGAGCCCCCUCCGCCCCACUUCUUCAUUGCCCCGAAGGGGAGAGUGAAACCAGGGUUCUCAGUCACCCAGAGAAUCAGGGUCUGGAGCGCUAGCGACCAGGGAAGCCUUCCCGUAAGAGGCGGACCCAGAGCUGAGCCUGCAUUCACUCGUCCGUUCUCUCAUUCAACAAGCAUUUAUUAAGUGCCUAAGACGUACAGUCGCUGCGCUAGUUUGUAGACUUUGGAAGACGAAAUUGACAUAGUCCCUCAAGGGACUGCAGGGGUUUGUUGUAUUGGGGAGGAUACAAUUAAACAACAAGUGUUUAUCAUCUCCUGUGGGCUAGACUCUGUGCUAAGGAUGCAAGGAAAGGCAAAACCUCCAUUCACAUGGGGAGAUACAUAGAGAAAAGAAAGGAAUUUCUCCGUUAUACUCAGAAAAGCGUCCAUGGCCAACAUCCUAACUCCCAUGAAUUAGUCAAGAGCCAGGCAUCCUUGUGCAAUCUGGAAAACACUUCAUGGAUUCAAGAGGAAGAAAUGGCUGGUUUGUCUCCUCAAAAGGACAGUCCCACGAUUGAGGACCUAGAAGAAAGUUUACAGAAGCUGAAGGUCCACGUGUGCCCACGCUUGGUCCCCAGCUCGAAUCAAGACUCUGACACUGACGAUGGCUCUGGUUCGGAGGCCACUGACCUGUGGAGAUUUACUCAGGCUCAGUGGCCUGAAGUCCAAUGUGGCCCAUCUCCCAUGAAGGAGGGGGAAGCCCUGGCGCAGGCGCCUGUGCCCUUAGCCAGACCGGUGGGAAACGACUCAAGCCUUAGGACCUUAGGCCUUCCAGUGAGGUCCCUGGCUCCCGGCAGGUAUAGAGCAGGCCUCCUGGGAAAUGAGGUGGCCCCCACUAGCUGCCUGCCAUCUGUGGCCUUGCUGAUGAAUGGACCCCCUGCACAGGCCUUCCCCCCGAAACUAGGGGCACCCCAUGUGAUCGGGGUGAAGUCCCUGCUGCCUCCUACGAUCCCAGUGAGGUCCUGCUCUCCCGGCAUACCUCGAGGCAGGUCCCUUUCUCUCACCCGCUCCCAUUCUUUCUCCCCCGCUUCCAAGAGGACUCGAUGGGUCAGGUCUCGGUCACAGUCCCCCAGGCCCAUCUGGAGACCCACCUCAGCCAAAGCCAAUGCUUGUGCACAGCCUCCCCCUCAGCUCAUCCGGCCCGGAGGGAGCAGAAAGAAAAUGACUCUGAACAGACCGUCUCGAUCUCGAACUUGUAAAACGGGGCACUGGGCCACCCGCCGGGCCUGCAUGACCCCUGAACCCAGGGAGGAAGAUGCCCUGGACUACUCCUGGAGCCCUUACUGCCUACCUGUGCCUGGAAUCUCCUCUCCCCUGGUUCAGGAGAUGAACAAAAGGUUCUUCAAGACCCUCACAGAAAGGAAUGUGCAUCAGCCCCUGGGGACCAUGGACCCCAUCCAGAAAACCUUGACACGACUCCGUUUGCAGCGCCUUCGGGCAGAGGAAGAGUGGGUACUAGAGCUGAAGAGGCAGCAAGAACUGGAACGGACCCGAGGUCCCAGGUCCAAGUGAUGCCGCAACCGUGAGCUCCAGGAGUGCUGGGACCAUGGCUUAUAAUUCACAGAUUCUGGAAACGGAGGGGGCUUCCAAAGCCAUCAAGUCCAACCUCUCCAUUCUAUGGAUGAGGAAACUAGGAUGGAAAGAGGUUAAAUGAUUAAGUAAGUGUCUGAGGCAGGAUUUGCUGGGCUCAAAAGUUAAGAACUCUAACCACUACAUAAAUAUGCAUUAAACUUUACAGAUCUCUUUCUUCACAACCACCCUCUGAGAUCAGUUUUUUUUUCAAGUCAUCAUCUAUUAAUUGCCUAUUAUGUGCUAAGUAUUGGGGAUACAAAAAAGCGAAGUCAACAACUCUGAAAUACCACUACACAACUCUCAGAUUGGCUAAGAUGACAGGAAAAGAUAAUGACAACUAUUGGAGGAGAUGUGGGAAAACUGGGACACUGAUAUAUUGUUGGAGGAGUUGUGAAUGGAUCCAGCCAUUCUGGAGAGCAAUUUGGAACUAUGCUCAAAGAGUUAUCAAAUUGUGCAUACCCUUUGAUCCAGCAGUGUUUCUAUUGGAUCUAUACCCCAAAGAGAUUUUAAAG
ensembl:lncRNA